AUGAAGGCUGGAGGAAUGAAGCCAUCACCGACGAUGUAUAAUGCAUUAGUCAAUGCAUACGUAGAGGGGACUGUCAGAGAAAGCUAUAAAUGCAUUCAGAGCAGAUGCAUAAAACCUAGUAUUUUAGUUCUUAACUCUUUAAUUAAUGCAUUUGGCAAAGAUUGAAGGGAGGUGGAAGCCUUUUCCGUACUGCAAUUUAUGAAGGAAAAUGAUAUAAAGCCAGAUGUUGUGAUCUGUACUACUCUUGCGAAAGCUUUAAUCCAUGUUGAGAAGUUUGAAAAGG